UUUCUCUUAUCCAAAACUAGCUUUCCAGAUAACACUUCAUAUCCCAACAAAUCAGAUUGCUCAUCUGCAAUAUCAAUCCUGUGUUCUUCCCUCUUUGCUUUCUUGGAAGCAUCACUGCUGGCGCUGACAUCAUUUCGCCUUGAAGCUUUAGUUUUAGAACGCUUUUCAGGAAACACAACUGGAGACGUUUGUUGACCGGUUGAUAUUUGGGAGCAACAAUUAAGGUGGCGAAGCGCUUGCUGAGGGGUUCUUAACGAAUUGCUCUUCGGAAGACUGCCACUGUUCUGCAUGCCGUUUACAGUGCAGAAAAAAAAAACGGAAUGCGAAUGACAGCGGCAAUCGGAAUUUUGUCUUGGCUGUCAAUUACCGAAUUGAAGCGAUCGGAGGUUAAUCGUGAAGCAGGAGCGGAGAUGGAGGAGUAGAGUGAUUGGCGGCUGGUUGAAGAAGAUGAUUUGGUGAAUAUGAUGAAGAGAAUUGAGAAAUUAGGGUUAGUGAGUGGCGGUGGACG
rnacentral:lncRNA from 1 species